CACUGUUGAUUCAGGUAAUUCAGGCCUUUGUGGCCAUCUCCUUGGAAAGCAACGUGUUUUUCCUCCUCUGUCUGGCAGUUUAGUCACUGCCUCGUCUGUCUCGUGGCCAUUUCCAAAUUAAAACCAUGCCAGACUCAUCCCAGCCAGCUCCAGAUUCACACAGCAUUUGCAUGUUUUGCAUAAAUGUAAUUGCAGCUAUUUUUCCCCUGUGUUUUCAGAUUGUGCCACAGGUCUGGUUUGAAUCUCUCACCGAGAAUGAAGCCCUGGUUUAGGUGAGAGCAUAAUUAGGUCACAAACCUGGAGUGGCACCAAUUUUUUUUCAGCUUUUCAGUCAACAUUCAGCAUUUUAUUCCAGAAACCACCUCAUGGUUUGUAGUUUGUUGUGUCACUGCCUUCAGUUUGUGUAGAACCUCCAGGUGCGUUUAAUACCCAAAAUCUGAAUUUUUUAAAAUGUGGUUUUUUUUCCAAGUCAUCGUCACACCUGAAGCCCUUUUUGGGAAUAAUUCCCCCUUGACUCUCAGAGCAACUUCUGCAAAGUCUCCAGGAAUGGUUUUUCCUUCCAUUUUUCCAACAAGGAGCUGAAUUCUGUUUCUCAGUGGAAAUAAAACAUUCAGCAGCUGGGGUUGGCUCUGGGCUAACUGGGCAAGUUCUUUCCCUGGCCUAAUUAGGGCUGGAAUGAGCUCAGGUUUUGUGUCCUGGCACCGCAGUUUGGAGGCCAGGAUGGCCACAGGUGACAUCCUGACAGCCCUGCUGGAGGACAGGAAUGGCAGCAAUUGGGAACACGGGGUUGGUGGCAUCCCUGCAAUUGCUGGGACACCUCAUUUUGGUUGAUUUAUGGCCAUCCCCAAAGCCAGAACCCCAAAUGUUUCGUUCAGGUGGUGCAGCCAACAAUCAUUUCUGCUCAACUCGGAUAAUUUGAGUGGGUAAUUUUGGCUAACCAAGGGGAGGAAGUCUCCAGCUUCAAUUUUUCCACCCCAAAACCUUUCUGAGGAGAGAAAUGUUUCAUUUUAUUCAUUAAAGCAAGGCUUAGCACAUCGUGACUGCAACAAAACAAGAAUUAAACUGACCAGGAAGGGAUAAAAUGAUUCAAUCCUCAGACUGGGGGGUUUUAUUUUUAGAAUGAUUUGAAGAUUUCAGUUCAGAGAAGGACCAAAUUAAUUGGGAAUGUUUCCUGUGAUGCUUGAGGCUGAAGGAUGUGAUCCAUUCCUGGCUGGGCUGGAUGGGACAUUGAGCAACUUGACCCAGUGGGAGGUGGCCCUGCCCAUGGCAGGGGUUGGGACAAGGUGAUCUUUAAGGUCCCUUCCACCCCAAACCAUUCCGUGACUCCACAACUGGUGGGAAGUUUUUUUAGAAAUUAUUUUUUAAUUUUAAAAAAUUAAUUCUUUUAGCAAGUACGUUUUUAAUUUAAAAAAAAAAGGAUAUUUCACUCAAAGUGGAAUUAUUAGGAAGUAUUUUUUAAAUUAAAGAAAAAGACAUUUCAAUAUUUCAAAAGGAACUAUUUUUUCAAUUUAAAAAAAAAAAUGGAAUUUUUUUCUAGAAAGUAUUUUUUUAAUUUAAAAAAAAAAGGGCAUUUCACUGGAAGCUCCCUCCCAACAGUAUCAGAACCUCCAUCUCUCAUUUAACUUCAUCCCACAUCCCCAAGCCUCGGAGGUGUCUGUCUGCAGAGCAACUGAAGCUCUUCAGCUUCUUGAAAGGGAAGAACUUCAAAGCCAAUCCCAAAUAUUCAUUAAAUGGUUGAGACACACCGAGUGCAUCAGCCAUGGAAAUGCUGCAGCUCCAAUGCAAAAUUGGGAUGGUUUUGUCACUUGGGCAACGACGUCACCCGAAAUUUGGUUACUCCCCGGGCAGACAGCGUUUGACAGCGUCAGGACCCAGGGUUAUUAAUUUUUUCAUUCAAAAGUCGUUUUGUGUGUCAUAAUAACCUCCCACGGAGCCUCUGGAGAGGAUCCAAGGCUGCUUGGGAUUCUGGUGACAAUUUCGGGCACAAAACGAGGUGGGGAUGGGGAAGGGGAUCCAGCAGGGCCCUGCUCAGGUGAGACCUCACCUGCAGAGCUGCCCUGGAUCCCAGCCCAGGGAGGACCUGGAGCUGCUGGGGAGAGCCCAGAGGAGGCUCCAGGAUGGGAUCAGAGGGAUGGAGCAGCUCUGCUGGGACAACUGGGAAUGUUCAGCCUGGAGAAGCUUUGGGGUGACCCAAUUGUGGCCUUGGAGGACCUGAAGGGGCAACGAGGAACAGGGGCAGAGACAAUUCCUGAGGGAUGGGGUGCCUGGACAAGGGGGAAAGGGUUCAGACUGACAGGGAGGAAAUUUAGGUGGGAUUUUGGGAAGGUUCACACCAACAGAAAGGAAAUUUAGAUGGGAUUUUGGGAAGGUUCAGAUCGACAAGGAGGAAAUUUAGGUGGGAUUUUGGGAAGGUUCAGAUCGACAAGGAGGAAAUUUAGACGGGAUUUUGGGAAGGUUCAGAUCGACAGGGAGGAAAUUUAGGUGGGAUUUUGGGAAGGUUCACACCAACAGAAAGGAAAUUUAGAUGGGAUUUUGGGAAGGUUCACACCAACAGAAAGGAAAUUUAGGUGGGAUUUUGGGAAGGUUCACAACAACAGAAAGGAAAUUUAGAUGGGAUUUUGGGAAGGAAUCCCUCCCUGGGAGGGUGGGGAGGUCCUGGCAGGGGUUAUCCCAUGGAUGGUCCAUCUUUGGAAUUGUCCAAGGCCAGGCUGGAGCACCCAGGGAUGGUGGGAAUGUCCCUGUCCAUGGCAGGGCGGGGAUGAGAUGAGUUUCCAUUCCAUCCCAAAGCAUUCCAAGAUUUCCUGGGAGACCGAUAG